rnacentral:rRNA from 1 species
UACGUAGGGGGCUAGCGUUGUCCGGAAUCAUUGGGCGUAAAGCGCGUGUAGGCGGCCCGGCAAGUCCGCUGUGAAAGUCGGGGGCUCAACCCUCGGAUGCCGGUGGAUACUGCCGGGCUCGAGUACGGAAGAGGCGAGUGGAAUUCCUGGUGUAGCGGUGAAAUGCGCAGAUAUCAGGAAGAACACCCGUGGCGAAGGCGGCUCUCUGGGACGGUACUGACGCUGAGACGCGAAAGCGUGGGGAGCGAACAGG